ACAUGUAAAUAUCAUAUUAUUAACAUAAUCAUCACUAUAUUUUGCUUGGGAUAUCUGCACUUUUCCCCAUGGCUGCAACUCCUGUAUUCUUAACUUCGAUGGCCCCUAAUGAUCUUCAUCAUGAUCAACUUCAAUUCUCCGGCGACUCUCACUUUGCUCUUCACGGUGAGAUCAUGAUGCUUAUUCUUGUCUUGCUUUUUGUUAUCUUUCUCCUCUUCCUCUUCUUCCUUCUCUACACAAAACGCUUUCGAACUCAACCUAAAGAUGACUUGUCGACCUCCCAGCCCGAUUUACCAACCAAUCUUCCGAUGAUUCAGUUCAAUGGCGGGUGCAAGUGAGUACAAGACCUAUAACCCUUCAACAAAUAUAGAUAGAGCAUCAAUUAUAGCCUUGCUCAUAUACAUAUAUUUAUAUGUAUGUGUUUUUACAAUAUUAUUUAUAUAUCUGCCAUGAUUAAUUGGCUCAGUCCGUAUUGAAAGCUUAAUUUGUAAUUAAGUUAAGGUUAUAAUUAGUUAUCUCCCAUGAAUUAUGAUUCUUUCUAGCUAAAAGAGUAGACAAUUUUCAGUUAAUUAAUGGAGAAAAUGCAUAUGUAUGUAUACAAGACAAGAAAUUAAGAAAGAUUAAUUAAUUAAUUAAUUAAUUAAUCAAAUUAAUUAUUUGUGUUUUUAGAGUUCCGUGUGUGAUUGGGUAACUUACCACCACAAAAUUUGAUGAUGUAUACAAGAUGUUAGGUUGGUGGUACAACUUGUCAAUUGUAAGACAGACAGCCACCAUUUUCAUAUUUAGAUAUGAAGGUACGCUGAGGUGGCACCAAGUGAUUGGGUGGACGUACCAGAUAUUUUCUCUUUUCUCUCUCUAUUAUUGCUCAAGAACUGGACAUACAUACGUAUAUGUAUGUAUGUAUCUACGUACCAACAUGCCAAGGGACUUCCCUCCCACCCAAGAGGAUGGAUAUUUCUAUUAAUUCUCUACUUCUGUAUUGGGUUAAACCUUAAAAUGUAUUUAAAGUAUUAACUUCAAUCUUAUGUAGUUUGUAAGAUAAUAAACACAUACUACCUAUUAGAUUUUAUGCUAAGAAUGUACAAAAUAAACUUUUUCUAUUAGUUAACUUAUUUGUUUAAUUAUCAUCUUAAGACUUAUAUAUGUAAUGGUGUAAAUCAUUACUUAGUUAUAUUACACUGACAAAUGGCCUCUUAGCUCAGUUGGUUAGAGUAUUGUGCUAAUAACGCAAAUGUUAUUAUUAUUAUUAUUUUUUUUUACAUAAUUUAAUAGCAAAAUUAUAAAUGAUUCCAC
rnacentral:lncRNA from 1 species